ACUCCUACGGGAGGCAGCAGUAGGGAAUCUUCCACAAUGGGCGCAAGCCUGAUGGAGCAACACCGCGUGAGUGAAGAAGGGUUUCGGCUCGUAAAGCUCUGUUGUUAAAGAAGAACACGUAUGAGAGUAACUGUUCAUACGUUGACGGUAUUUAACCAGAAAGUCACGGCUAACUACGUGCCAGCAGCCGCGGUAAUACGUAGGUGGCAAGCGUUAUCCGGAUUUAUUGGGCGUAAAGAGAGUACAGGCGGUUUUCUAAGUCUGAUGUGAAAGCCUUCGGCUUAACCGGAGAAGUGCAUCGGAAACUGGAUAACUUGAGUGCAGAAGAGGGUAGUGGAACUCCAUGUGUAGCGGUGGAAUGCGUAGAUAUAUGGAAGAACACCAGUGGCGAAGGCGGCUACCUGGUCUGCAACUGACGCUGAGACUCGAAAGCAUGGGUAGCGAACAGGAUUAGAUACCCUGGUAGGAUAGCG
rnacentral:rRNA from 1 species